rnacentral:rRNA from 1 species
GACGAACGCUGGCGGCGUGCUUAACACAUGCAAGUCGAGCGGUAAGGCCCUUUCGGGGGUACACGAGCGGCGAACGGGUGAGUAACACGUGGGUGACCUGCCCUCAGCUCUGGGAUAAGCCUGGGAAACCGGGUCUAAUACUGGAUAUGACUCCAUGACGCAUGUUGUGGGGUGGAAAGCCUUGUGCGGCUGAGGAUGGGCCCGCGGCCUAUCAGCUUGUUGGUGGGGUGAUGGCCUACCAAGGCGACGACGGGUAGCCGGCCUGAGAGGCGACCGGCCACACUGGGACUGAGACACGGCCCAGACUCCUACGGGAGGCAGCAGUGGGAAUCUUGCGCAAUGGGCGAAAGCCUGACGCAGCGACGCCGCGUGA